rnacentral:rRNA from 1 species
UACGUAGGGUGCAAGCGUUGUUCGGAUUCAUUGGGCGUAAAGGGUGCGUAGGCGGCGCGGUAAGUCGGGUGUGAAAUUUCGAGGCUUAACUUCGAAACUGCAUUCGAUACUGCCGUGCUUGAGGACUGGAGAGGAGACUGGAAUUUACGGUGUAGCGGUGAAAUGCGUAGAUAUCGUAAGGAAGACCAGUGGCGAAGGCGGGUCUCUGGACAGUUCCUGACGCUGAGGCACGAAGGCCAGGGGAGCAAACGGG